UACAGAGACCUCAAGCGUUAUCCGGAAUCAUUGGGCGUAAAGCGUACCGAUAGGUGGUUUAGAAAGUCAGAUGUGAAAUCUCUCAGCUUAACUGGGAGACUGUCUUUUGAAACUUCUAAACUAGAGGGGCAAAGAGGAAGCUGGAACGAACGGUGUAGUAGUGAAAUGCGUUGAUAUCGUUCGGAACACCAAUAGCGUAGGCAGGCUUCUGGGUGCCACCUGACACUGCUAGGACGAAAGCGUGGGGAGCGAAUGGG
rnacentral:rRNA from 1 species